rnacentral:rRNA from 1 species
GUGAGGAAUAUUGGUCAAUGGGCGAGAGCCUGAACCAGCCAAGUAGCGUGAAGGAUGAAGGUCCUACGGAUUGUAAACUUCUUUUAUACGGGAAUAAAGUUUCCUACGUGUAGGAUUUUGUAUGUACCGUAUGAAUAAGCAUCGGCUAACUCCGUGCCAGCAGCCGCGGUAAUACGGAGGAUGCGAGCGUUAUCCGGAUUUAUUGGGUUUAAAGGGAGCGCAGGCCGUCCUUUAAGCGUGCUGUGAAAUGCCGCGGCUCAACCGUGGCACUGCAGCGCGAACUGGAGGACUUGAGUACGCACGAGGUAGGCGGAAUUCGUGGUGUAGCGGUGAAAUGCUUAGAUAUCACGAAGAACCCCGAUUGCGAAGGCAGCUUGCUAAACUGUAACUGACGUUCAUGCUCGAAAGUGUGGGUAUCAAACAGGAUUAGAAACCCGAGUAGUCC